rnacentral:rRNA from 1 species
UACAGAGGUGGCAAGCGUUGUUCGGAAUUACUGGGCGUAAAGGGCGUGUAGGCGGCCAAACAGGUCCGUUGUGAAAACUGGAGGCUCAACCUCCAGACGUCGACGGAAACCGUGUGGCUAGAGUCCGGAAGAGGAGAGUGGAAUUCCUGGUGUAGCGGUGAAAUGCGCAGAUAUCAGGAAGAACACCAAUGGCGAAGGCAGCUCUCUGGGACGGUACUGACGCUGAGACGCGAAAGCGUGGGGAGCGAACAGG